UGUGUAGGCGGGCCGUUAAGUGCCUUGUGAAAUCCCACGGCUUAACCGUGGAACGGCUGGGCAUACUGGCGGUCUUGAGCUGCCUAGGGGUCGCUGGAACUAACGGUGGAGCGGUGAAAUGCGUAGAUAUCGUUAGGAACGCCAAAGGUGAAAACAGGCGACUGGGGGCAAGCUGACGCUGAGACACGAAAGCCAGGGGAGCAAACGGGAUUAGAUACCCCGGUAGUCCUGGCCCUAAACGAUGUCCACUAGAUCGCGGGCCUCUGACGGUAUCGCGGUCGAAGCAAAAGUGCUAAGUGGACCGCCUGGGAAGUACGGUCGCAAGGCUAAA
rnacentral:rRNA from 1 species